UACGAAGGGGGCUAGCGUUGCUCGGAAUCACUGGGCGUAAGGAGGCGCGUGAGCGGAUCUUUUAAGUCGGGGGUGAAAUCCUGGAGCUCAACUCCAGAACUGCCUUUGAUACUGAAGAUCUUGAGUGCGGGAGAGGUGAGUGGAACUGCGAGUGUAGAGGUGAAAUUCGUAGAUAUUCGCAAGAACACCAGUGGCGAAGGCGGCUCACUGGCCCGAUACUGACGCUGAGGCACGAAAGCGUGGGGAGCAAACAGG
rnacentral:rRNA from 1 species